rnacentral:rRNA from 1 species
CUCAAGACUAAGCCAUGCAUGUCUAAGUAUAAACGCUUCUAUACUGUGAAACUGCGAAUGGCUCAUUAAAUCAGUUAUAGUUUAUUUGAUGGUUCCUACUACAUGGAUAACCGUGGUAAUUCUAGAGCUAAUACAUGCAGAAAGUCCCGACUUCUGGAAGGGAUGUAUUUAUUAGAUCCAAAACCGGCGCGGGUCCUCGGGCCCGGUUGCUUGGUGAUUCAUGAUAACUGCUCGAACCGUAUGGCCUUUGCGCCGACGGUGCUUCAUUCAAAUUUCUGCCCUAUCAACUUUCGAUGGUACGGUAGUGGCCUACCAUGGUUGCAACGGGUGACGGAGAAUUAGGGUUCGAUUCCGGAGAGGGAGCCUGAGAAACGGCUACCACAUCCAAGGAAGGCAGCAGGCGCGCAAAUUACCCAAUCCCGACUCGGGGAGGUAGUGACAAUAAAUAACAAUGCCGGGCUUUCUUAGUCUGGCAAUUGGAAUGAGUACAAUCUAAACCCCUUAACGAGGAACAAUUGGAGGGCAAGUCUGGUGCCAGCAGCCGCGGUAAUUCCAGCUCCAAUAGCGUAUAUUAAAGUUGUUGCAGUUAAAAAGCUCGUAGUUGGAUUUCGGGGCAGCCUGGCUGGUCCGCCGCAAGGCGAGUACUGGUCAGCCGCCCUUCCUCUCGAAAGCCCCGACUGCUCUUGAUUGUAGUGGUCGGGUAGUUCGGGACGUUUACUUUGAAAAAAUUAGAGUGUUCAAGGCAGGCCUACGCCUGAAUACAUUAGCAUGGAAUAAUGGAAGAGGACCUCGGUCCUAUUUUGUUGGUUUCCAGGGCCGAAGUAAUGAUUAAGAGGGACAGUUGGGGGCAUUCGUAUUUAAUUGUCAGAGGUGAAAUUCUCGGAUUUAUGAAAGACGAACAACUGCGAAAGCAUUUGCCAAGGAUGUUUUCAUUAAUCAAGAACGAAAGUUAGGGGUUC